rnacentral:lncRNA from 1 species
CCGGGAACUAUUCCACAUGGGUUUUAUUUUGUUGUUUGGUUUGGGCCACGGUGGAAAAGAUCCCGGCCCAAACCACGUGGGUCCGCUACAUUCCACGGGAUCCAGAAGAAUCGCCUCAAAGGCGUGGAACGAAACCACGAGACGAGCGCACGAAACCUAGGGUUUGACGAGGCGAAAGUGGCGGCGGCGACGCGUUGUCUCCGGCAACGACAACGAACGGUGACGCGGUGCCUCC